rnacentral:rRNA from 1 species
CCUACGGGUGGCAGCAGUGGGGAAUAUUGCACAAUGGGCGCAAGCCUGAUGCAGCCAUGCCGCGUGUGUGAAGAAGGCCUUCGGGUUGUAAAGCACUUUCAGCGGGGAGGAAGGCGUUAAGGUUAAUAACCUUGGCGAUUGACGUUACCCGCAGAAGAAGCACCGGCUAACUCCGUGCCAGCAGCCGCGGUAAUACGGAGGGUGCAAGCGUUAAUCGGAAUUACUGGGCGUAAAGCGCACGCAGGCGGUCUGUCAAGUCGGAUGUGAAAUCCCCGGGCUCAACCUGGGAACUGCAUUCGAAACUGGCAGGCUAGAGUCUUGUAGAGGGGGGUAGAAUUCCAGGUGUAGCGGUGAAAUGCGUAGAGAUCGGGAGGAAUACCGGUGGCGAAGGCGGCCCCCUGGACAAAGACUGACGCUCAGGUGCGAAAGCGUGGGGAGCAAACAGGAUUAGAUACCCCUGUAGUC